rnacentral:rRNA from 1 species
UACAGAGGUCUCGAGCGUUGUUCGGAUUCAUUGGGCGUAAAGGGUGCGUAGGUGGCGCUGUAAGUCGGGUGUGAAAUCCUGAGGCUUAACCUCGGAACUGCAUUCGAUACUGCGGCGCUUGAGGACUGGAGAGGGGACUGGAAUUCAUGGUGUAGCAGUGAAAUGCGUAGAGAUCAUGAGGAAGACCAGUGGCGAAGGCGGGUCUCUGGACAGUUCCUGACACUGAGGCACGAAGGCCAGGGGAGCAAACGGG